rnacentral:rRNA from 1 species
ACCGGAGUACUAUGAAUACUGUAAAUUUAAAACUCAAAGAACUUGGCGGUGUUUUAGACCACUCAGGGGAACCUGUCUCGUAAUCGACAAUCCACGUUGUACCUGACCUUUCUUUGUUCUCAGUUUGUAUACCGUUGUCGUCAGGUAACUUUUUAGAAUGUAGAAGUUGGCUGGAAAAAUAAAUAAUUUAGUACGUCAAAUCAAGGUGCAGCUAACAGAAAGGGGAGGAUGGGUUACAAUUAUUCAUUUAUAAUUACGGAUUAUUAUGUUAAAGCGUAAGGAUAAGAAGGAGGACUUGAAAGUAAAUUAAAUUUAUAAGAAUAAAUUUGAAUAAGGCUCUGAAACGUGU